rnacentral:misc_RNA from 1 species
UAAAUUAACGUCGAACCACUGACAAACUAUAUUAUUGAUCGUAUUGUUUUUAUUAGGUUUCUGUGCUAAAUUAAAUAAAAUCUAUCCGGAAUUUUUCUCUAAUAAUUUUUACAUCAAUUGUGCGUUAUUCAUCACGCCCCAAAUAGAAAAAUUUGAAGAUUCGGAUUCCUGUAACAAAAUGAGAAAUUGUUUAACAUUUUCAUGCAUUUGAUUUUUUUUUUAAUUUAUUAUUUGUUAAAUAUUUUUAUUAUUACUUUCUCGGAUUUGUUCCAAACGUAGAAAUAAUUACAAACGGAAAUAUAUUUGCUUAUUUUGUAGAAUUAAGUUAAAUAUGGCGUGCUGUUUGAGUGAUGAAGAAAGGGAACAGAGAAGAAUUAAUCAGGAAAUUGAAAAACAGUUGAGAAGAGAUAAAAGAGAUGCCCGUAGAGAGCUUAAAUUACUUUUACUGGGAACAGGAGAAUCUGGGAAGAGUACAUUUAUUAAACAGAUGAGAAUUAUUCAUGGAACUGGUUAUUCUGAUGAAGACAAAAAAGGAUUUAUUAAACUUGUAUUCCAAAAUAUAUUCAUGGCUAUGCAAAGCAUGAUAAAAGCAAUGGAUUUGCUACAAAUACAAUACAAGAAUGAAAAAAAUAUAGAAAAUGCAGAAUUGGUUAAAGCAGUUGACUAUGAAACAGUAACAACAUUUGAUAACCAGUAUGUAGAAGCAAUUAAAUCAUUAUGGGAAGAUGCUGGCAUUCAAGAAUGUUAUGAUAGACGAAGAGAAUAUCAAUUAACAGAUUCAGCUAAAUACUAUUUAAGUGAUCUUGAUAGAAUAUCUGCCACUGAUUAUUUGCCAACUCAACAAGAUAUUUUACGUGUUAGAGUUCCAACAACUGGAAUAAUUGAAUAUCCAUUUGAUUUGGAUUCCAUUAUAUUCAGAAUGGUUGAUGUUGGUGGUCAAAGGUCUGAAAGAAGAAAAUGGAUACACUGUUUUGAAAAUGUUACAUCUAUAAUUUUUCUUGUUGCUUUAAGUGAAUAUGAUCAAAUUUUGUUUGAAUCUGAUAAUGAGAAUAGAAUGGAAGAAAGCAAAGCAUUAUUCAAAACCAUUGUUACUUAUCCCUGGUUUCAAAAUUCUUCUGUCAUUCUUUUCUUGAAUAAGAAAGAUUUAUUAGAAGAGAAGAUCAUGCAUUCACAUAUAGUUGAUUAUUUUCCAGAAUUUGAUGGUCCAAAACAAGAUCAUAUUGCAGCACGUGAAUUCAUACUUAAAAUAUAUUUGGCUCAGAAUCCAUCAGAAGAUCGGAUGAUAUAUUCACAUUUUACUUGUGCCACAGGUCAGUGUUGUUCUCCAUACUUCACUCACGUUGGUUGACUCCAUUACUGUCCAGAUCACUUACAAUGGGUGGCAUUGCUGAUGGAUGCAUAGCUUUAAUUAUCCACAAGUUUCCAGAGAAGGGUCAUGUAUUUUCCACUGUUGUGCUGCCAUUAAGGUAUUGCAAGAACUACGAAACUACAGAACUAUAGAAUUGAC